GCAGGGGGGAACAGCAGACGGGGUCAGGGUCAGGGCAGACAGGGGGGAACAGCAGACGGGGUCAGGGUCAGGGCAGGCAGGGGGGAACAGCAGACGGGGUCAGGGUCAGGUCAGGCAGAGGUCGGUGAUACAGAGUAGAGGCAAAGGUACA